UUGGGAAUCCGAUUUGAUCGA
ensembl:piRNA 21ur-14192 ncRNA